rnacentral:misc_RNA from 1 species
GAUGAAGAACGUAGCGAAAUGCGAUAAGUAGUGUGAAUUGCAGAAUUCAGUGAAUCAUCGAAUCUUUGAACGCACAUUGCGCCCCUUGGUAUUCCAUGGGGCAUGCCUGUUCGAGCGUCAUUUCAACCCUCGGGCCCCGCAUUCGUGCGGGCCCCGGCGUUGGGGACCGGCCUCCGCAUCGGACGGCCGCCCCCGAAACCCAGUGGCGGUCCCGCCGCGGCCUUCUCUGCGUAGUAGCAUACACCUCGCACUGGAGAGCGGCGCGGCCACGCCGUAAAAGAAACGAACUUUCUGAAGGUUGACCUCGGAUCAGGUAGGAAUACCCGCUGAACUUAAGCAUAUCAAUAAGCGGAGGA